UUAUUGGUGAGAGGGAGUUGCUGGCCAAGAUUAUUCUGAGCUCGAAUCUAUUGCUCCAGGGACCAGAUGGAAUCGUAGGUCCUGACCAACGGACCAAUCCAGCUGGCUCCUAAUGUAUUCGAGAUAAACAUACCUUAAUGAACCUCUUGCCAGGGAAAAGUGUUUUCGUUUCUACUCCCUUCCACCUCUGGGUUUUACUGAAGCUAAAGGAUCAUUUUUCCGUCUAUGUAAAUGGGAAAAAAUGCUCGCGCACACGUUAACGGAUGGAACGGAUGCAAGAGGACGAUUCUUCUCCCCUAGGAAAACAACUGAAUUCUGAGAGGGGACAGAGGUCCCAUGUCCCCGAUCUUGUCUUGUCUGAGAGACAAUGAAACGGGUCCGAUUGCACUGGGGCCUCUAUUAAACCGAAUGGCAUGAAUAGGUAAUCUGAAGGUGAAUGGUGAAGUGUAUCAGCCCUUUGGAGAAGAUACGUAUCAUUGAAUAUGACCUCCUGAUCACUGCCGCUUCUGCAGAUGGGCAUCUCUGCAAUAAGAAAUGUCUGGAAUUGUUCCACGGUCCCUAAUUGGGGCCUACAGAGCCAACGAUCGAACUCCCGCCAAGUCGUCCCUCCAGCUCCGAGGACCAGGCACUUAAGACCCAGAAACCUGGCCAGCAGAAGAGAAACAGAAUCUGCAGAAGAGAGGAGGAUGCAAGGACCAGCUGGUGACAGACUGAUGGAGCCACACAAUAAUGCCAGUGAAGAAGAGGCGGACAAGCUGGGCUGAAAAACGGCAGAGUUUACCGAAUGCAGAAUAAGUUUUAUUUGCCAUUUGAACAUGUACAGAAGUGCAAUGGAAUUCUUACACAGUUCCCUUGGUUCAGGGCUGCCAACUUUCAUGCAUCUUUCUCACUCUCGUGCUCUCGCAAAAAAAUCUUACGCCAAAUCUAUUAUCUAUUAUGAACCUAAAAUUAACUAUAUCAAACGUGGACGGGCAGUCGGCAAACUUUACAAGAUAAAACUGUUACAUGUAUGUAAAUGGGUGAGCAUGUGCAUGUGUGUGCAGACUUCUCCGGAAUUGAGAACCUCGCACCAGCUAGCUGACCAAAACUUGUAACCCUCUUGGUCAAGGUUGAAAAACAACAGGAAAGCCUAUGACAGUAGUAUGGAAGAUGCAGUCAGGAUUUUACUGUGUUGUUAAAUAAACUUUAAUAGAUGAAAGGAUAAAACAAAGUGCAUGAUAAAUAUCUAUUAAGUAAGGUGCCUUCAAAGUGUGUGAUAGUUGGGGGUGUGAUUUAAGAGUUUAGGCCCUUGUAUCUUUUCUUAUGUUGGUUUCCAUUGGGAGGCAGUAAGAUGCUAUAAACAGGAAUUUCGAGGACCAGAGGUAAAAAUCCUGGACGUUCUCUGAGGAUCCUGA